AGCAGCCGCGGUAAUUCCAGCUCCAAUAGCGUAUAUUAAAGUUGUUGCAGUUAAAAAGCUCGUAGUUGAAUUUUGGGUCUGGCCGGGCGGUCCGCCCUCCGGGUGAGCACUGUUCCGACGCCGGGCCUAUCCUUCUGGUGAGUCGGCAUGUCCUUUGUUGGGUGUGUCGGGGAACCAGGACCAUUACCUUGAAAAAAUUAGAGUGUUCAAAGCAGGCGUAUGCUCGGAUACAUUAGCAUGGAAUAAUGAAAUAGGACGCGUGGUGCUAUUUUGUUGGUUUCUAGAACCGCCGUAAUGAUUAAUAGGGAUAGUUGGGGGCAUUAGUAUUCAAUUGUCAGAGGUGAAAUUCUUGGAUUUAUUGAAGACUAACUUCUGCGAAAGCAUUUGCCAAGGAUGUUUUCAUUAAUCAAGAACGAAAGUUAGGGGAUCGAAGACGAUCAGAUACCGUCGUAGUCUUAACCAUAAACUAUGCCGACUAGGAAUCGGGCGAUGUUAUUCUCAUGACUCGCCCGGCGCCUUAUG
rnacentral:rRNA from 1 species